rnacentral:rRNA from 1 species
CAGCCGCCACGGUAACACCGAGGGUGCGAGCGUUAAUCGGAUUUACUGGGCGUAAAGCGUGCGUAGGCGGCUUCUUAAGUCGGAUGUGAAAUCCCUGAGCUUAACUUAGGAAUUGCAUUCGAUACUGGGAAGCUAGAGUAUGGGAGAGGAUGGUAGAAUUCCAGGUGUAGCGGUGAAAUGCGUAGAGAUCUGGAGGAAUACCGAUGGCGAAGGCAGCCAUCUGGCCUAAUACUGACGCUGAGGUACGAAAGCAUGGGGAGCAAACAGGAUUAGAUACCCCCGUAGUCCCUGUCUCUUAUAC